GGGCGAUUAGCUCAGCUGGAAGAGCACUUGACUUGCACUCAAGGGGUCAGGGGUUCAAAUCCCCUAUCGUCCA
rnacentral:tRNA from 1 species